UGCAUCCAGUCCCUGCAGGCCUGCGGGCUUGGCCUUUCCGGCAAGCGCUGGCUGCAGUUCCGGGGAGGGCCACUAGGGGGAACCCGGCGGCCUCCAAGAAGCAGGACUUCCGGGGCGGGGCCUCGCAGGCCCCAGGCUCUGCAAAGCAGCGAGCCCGCGAUACAGUCCAGCGCUCUUUGUGCGAGGGCUCUGGCUGCCUCUGCCCAAACCCGGGAAGGAAGCGCAUCGCGGCAGACCGGGGGCUUAACAAACACAAAGCGGCAAAGGAAGUCCAACACGAGGUGAGGCCGUGGGGCCUGGCACCCGAUGGAGGAGGGUCUCUCCCUGAAGCCCAGGCUGGUCUUGAACUUAACGGUUAUACUCCUGCCUCAGCCUCCUGGGUGCUGGGAUCACAGGAACAGAAAUGAGCCGUCGCCUAUUCUGAAAAAAUAACCGGUCCUCAGCCAGAGACUUGACCAGGAAUUUCAGUUCCCAGGUGCCUCACCGACAGGAUGAGCUGGGAACAAGAGGCAGAAGGCAACAGCAUCUCUACUGGGGGUCUGUCCUGUCCCCGUGGGGACCAGGUCACCCCCUGUGGCUGUCUACAUGGAGAUUUAAGUAAAAUCUGCUGCAAGCACUUGAA